CUUGCCCAAGGCUGAAGCCUGGGUCAGAGGCGUCAGGUAUGGGCGGCAGGUGGAGCAAACGAUCAGAGGGAGAUGCGGAUCCCCUGCCCAGGCAUGAUUCCUGGGCCAGAGGCAUCAGGCCUGGGCUGGGGGCAGAACCAGUGAUGGGGGGAAA